rnacentral:sRNA from 17 species
GUCAACCACCCAUCACUUCCCUUCUCUGCGAGACGCUACGCGAACGGGUAAGUGAUGGCUUGUAAAAGCCUAGUUGACCAGACUCAGUUCUUGACCGAACUACGUUAGAGGUAAGAGUUAAAGACCUAUCAAGGGAUGCGUAGCUAGUUCCCUGCUCUAGA